rnacentral:tRNA from 1 species
UCCAGGGUAGCCUAGUGGACAUGGCACCUGCCCGGUAAGCAGAAGGUUCUGGGUUCGAUUCCCGCCCCUGAAC